rnacentral:rRNA from 1 species
UACGUAGGGUGCAAGCGUUGUCCGGAAUUAUUGGGCGUAAAGAGCUCGUAGGCGGUCUGUCACGUCGGACGUGAAAAUCCAGGGCUCAACCCUGGACCUGCAUUCGAUACGGGCAGGCUAGAGUUCGGUAGGGGAGACUGGAAUUCCUGGUGUAGCGGUGAAAUGCGCAGAUAUCAGGAGGAACACCGGUGGCGAAGGCGGGUCUCUGGGCCGAUACUGACGCUGAGGAGCGAAAGCGUGGGGAGCGAACAGG